GAGAGUAUAGCUCAAGUGGUAGAGCACAUGCUUAGCAUGCAUGACGUCCUGGGUUCGAUCCCCAGUACUUCCU
rnacentral:tRNA from 1 species